UACGUAGGGGGCAAGCGUUGUCCGGAAUCAUUGGGCGUAAAGAGCGUGUAGGCGGCCCGGUAAGUCCGCUGUGAAAGUCCAGGGCUCAACCCUGGGAUGCCGGUGGAUACUGUCGGGCUCGAGUCCGGAAGAGGAGAGUGGAAUUCCUGGUGUAGCGGUGAAAUGCGCAGAUAUCAGGAGGAACACCAAUGGCGAAGGCAGCACUCUGGGACGUGACUGACGCUGAGACGCGAAAGCGUGGGGAGCAAACAGG
rnacentral:rRNA from 1 species